rnacentral:rRNA from 1 species
AGAGUUUGAUCCUGGCUCAGGACGAACGCUGGCGGCACGCCUAACACAUGCAAGUCGAACGGUGAAGGGGGAGCUUGCUCCUUCGGAACAGUGGCGGACGGGUGAGUAACACGUGAGCAACCUGCCUUUCAGAGGGGGACAACAGUUGGAAACGACUGCUAAUACCGCAUAAUGUAUUUUGGCGGCAUCGCCGGAAUACCAAAGGAGCAAUCCGCUGUAAGAUGGGCUCGCGUCUGAUUAGAUAGUUGGUGAGGUAACGGCUCACCAAGUCGACGAUCAGUAGCCGGACUGAGAGGUUGAACGGCCACAUUGGGACUGAGACACGGCCCAGACUCCUACGGGAGGCAGCAGUGGGGGAUAUUGGACAAUGGGGGAAACCCUGAUCCAGCGAUGCCGCGUGAGGGAAGAAGGUUUUCGGAUUGUAAACCUCUGUGGAGGGGGACGAUAAUGACGGUACCCCUUUAGGAAGCCACGGCUAACUACGUGCCAGCAGCCGCGGU